rnacentral:rRNA from 1 species
UACGUAGGGGGGCAAGCGUUGUCCGGAAUCAUUGGGCGUAAAGAGCGUGUAGGCGGCCCGAUAAGUCCGCUGUGAAAGUCCAGGGCUCAACCCUGGAAUGCCGGUGGAUACUGUCGGGCUCGAAUCCGGAAGAGGUGAGUGGAAUUCCUGGUGUAGCGGUGAAAUGCGCAGAUAUCAGGAGGAACACCGGUGGCGAAGGCGGGACUCUGGGCCGAUACUGACGCUGAGGCGCGAAAAGCGUGGGGGAGCGAACAGG